CACGUAGGGCGCAAGCGUUGUCCGGAAUUAUUGGGCGUAAAGAGCUCGUAGGCGGCCGGUUGCGUCUGUUGUGAAAUCCCGGGGCUUAACCCCGGGCGUGCAGUGGAUACGGGCCGGCUGGAGGCAGGCAGGGGAGAGUGGAAUUCCCGGUGUAGCGGUGAAAUGCGCAGAUAUCGGGAGGAACACCGGUGGCGAAGGCGGUUCUCUGGGCCUGUACUGACGCUGAGGCGCGAAAGCCAGGGGAGCAAACGGG
rnacentral:rRNA from 1 species